AAUUGAGAACUUAUUCUUUGAAAGAAGAAGAAGAAAAAAAUAAAUUCUUGAUAAAACUCAUUAUCUCUUUCAUGGUCGAUUUAUAGGUAGGUAUAAGUACACGCGAGUAAGACAGUAUAAAGAAUUACUUUCAUUCAACCACUCGUAAAGCUCAAGAUAAGUAUCUAAUUAGUCAUUCUGUUGUUUUAAACUUAGAAGUUACUCCGUUUCGUAAAUUAAUUUUUUUUGUGGCUGUGCAAACAUGAUUCCUGCAGCAGCAGUAGUGGGAUUUUUUGGAUUAAUUUUGAUGCUUAGAAUGUUCAUUUCGAAAUUGUGACAACACCCUCAAGGUUCCGAAGUUUUCACAGGUUUCAAAAGUCUGCCCAGAUCGAGGAAAUGAUUCAAAAAUCGAAGAUGAACCACCGAAAUAACUUUUUUACAUUAACCUAUGAAAUCAAAUUAGGUAUAUUUUUUAAUGAGACAAUAUUGUCGCAAUGUAUAUUAUACGUUAUUUAAUUUUAUAGAGUAAUGAGCACAGUGUAGUCUCAUGACUCUUACAUAACAUGUUGAAAAAACCAUCUCUUAAUUAAU